AUCGGGGCUGGGUCCGUUAAAGUGCAUAAUUACCCUCAAAAAUUUUAUAGCGCUAUUUUAUUGUUAUUUUAAAUCACGCUGGCGAUUUUAGCGCUACUAACGGCGUUGCAUAGUCAAUCGAUUUAUUUUUUAUGUUUUGUUAUUCAUUGUUCGAAAUGGAUCGAUAUUCGCGAGACAAGUCUGGACUUCGACGGAUUUUAACUUGCCCCGUGUGAGGCUGGCUUUCCUAGCCAGUUUAGAGUUUUUCUCGCUAGAUCUAACUAGUUCUCGCCAGAUGCAGUUUAAUCUAGUCUCGCUCAACCUUGAGAGGGUUUACAUUCGACAAGGUCAGGCAAGGUAUCGGGGUCCGACUGCAGCCACUUAGCGCUACAGCACUUUCUAUCCUCUUCUCGUUUAAAAGAGGAAAAAGGAUAGAAGGUGUUCUGAAGUAUCUGAAACGUCAACUGGACCGCAUCCUCGGUCCUAUUUAGAGAUUCAGCAAACUCAAAACAAGAUCAAAGCAAGAUCAGGGGAAGUGCGGCAAAGGUAGUUCAGGUAGUUUCGGCGAAGGUCACGCAGGCUAGCGUGAGGUUGGAUUUCAGCGAGAUUCAGACUGGACAACUUCAGAUCGGAUCAGACGAGGCCGAAUGGGACGGAGGUCCUCGGAAUCAAAGAACACGAGAGAAGCACGUGCGAGCGGGCGCUUCGACGUGAUCGAUAACGAACAGGCGGAUAUCGACGAUAUAUUUCACUUGUAGGCAGCUGGAUUCGCGCCGACCGCCGAAGGAUGUUUCGCCCGCGCAUGCACGGCCGCAUGUUCGUUUCUCGCGUUACGUUCCCUUGCGAUUGACAGAUCGAACAGUCGCCGUGGAAAGCGUUUCGGAGCCCGAUCGCCGUCCCUCCGCGCUCGACCGAUUUGGUUCGGCGCAGCCGAAUUCGGCUGAACCGCGCGUCUUCGCAAUCGGAAUUGCCGUAAUUGUAAAUAUCUUCCCUUCUCUUUUCGCACUUGUCGUCGUCAUCUCAGCUCCGCCUCGCGAUCCGCUUCGCGUCGGCGAGGCGUCAGUGCACGCGCGACUCCGCGUGCUGAUUUGCAAUUGUAUUGUUGUAGAAGGAGUGUAAUAGGUGAAGCCACGCGUUAAGUUGAAAUUCUUAUUUUAUGCUUUUUGUAAUCAUUAUUUGAUAAUUAUGCUCGCACGGCCUGAAUUUGAUUUUGAUGCUUCAAAUUUCGUCACGCUCGGUUUGACGAAAUGAGGACUGGAUAGCAUUCGUCAAGUGUACGAGCUUUAAAAGUGUGAGGGCAAGUUUGAAAUGUGAGGUCUGGUGACUCAUGUAUCUGACAUUACUCUGAUAUCACUCAUCUAGCGGAAAUAAAAUACUUUAUUCGCAAUCGGAUACGUCGACGCACACGUGUUACACAUAUUAUUAUGAUUUUAAUAUAUAUAUUAAAAUAUAUUAUACGUUGCUCUCUCUUUUUGAAUUUUUUUUUAAUUGUAUUGAUCCUUUAUCUAAGUAGUAACUAAGUUUAAUUAAUUUCAAAUCCCGGAAUAUUUAAAUCUCUUGGAGCACAUAAAAUAGAUAUUUUACAUUUAGAGUUUACGACCUAACAGCACGCACGUCGCACAGCAAUAUUUCAGGAACACGUAUGUGCCUGCAAAAGACGCCGAGGCAUUUAAUUCUCACUCUGUUGCGCGUAAUUUAUGCGAUAGAUCACCGCAUCGCGUUGAACACUGUACAAUGGCCAGUCCGACGAAUACGCAAACAUCACUCCCUGACAUUUAACGACAGGGAGAGGAGAGGGGAGAACGGGAGGGUUAAUCGCGUCCUUUUAUCAAUUGAGAGCGUUAUCGAGGCCACGAGGACGUUCUCUGCGCAGGUGCCUGGCGCGGCAUGCGAGACCAUUGUUCGAUCGUUCUUUCUCAGUUGGAACUGGAAGGCGCUCGUCAUACCCGCGGCCCUGAUGUGGAUCGUCGUCGUCGUCUCGGCGACACGGGCCGAUCGAAUCAAUCUUGAUGAAAGAUAAAAAAACGCAGAGGGAACGGCACACGCGCGAGUCACCAGACCUGAUCCACGUGGUCGUAAAUUAAACGUCGAUCAACCGGCGCCAGUCAUCGGGAUUUAUCGCGAACUUAUCGGGAACUAGAGAGAACGGCACUGUCGUCCCGUUUCGUCUUAUCGAUCAUGUCGCCCAUUCGCGACAGGAGUAUAUCCAUGACGAUAAAGUCUCUCCGUUGUUCGCGCCGGAGCGAUAACUUGAUUUCCGACCCGAGGGAGAAGGGCCGAAUUGGGUUAAGGCCAAUUAAAUCAAACGGCGUGCCACAAACGCGACCGUUGCACUUCUCGAGAUUGGCACGGCCAGGGAAAAUGUCUCAGUUCCCUGUUUCAAGUGGCCUCAAGCGAGAAUGGAAAUUAGAUGGGACACGCGAGGUUCCUUUAUUUUAAGGUGUCUGCUAUGGCGAGACUUGCUAAUUUGUUAAUUUAAUAGAGGAAAUCCUCCCUCCCCCAGAACGCGGGCUCGCAGGUUCUUUUCCUGCAAAAGUCGUUUGUCCAUUUUUACCUCUCUCGUGUUUCUUCCAAUUCAAUUCUGAAAAUGCUACCGAACUCGUAAACUUCUGAGAAAAUCACGCGAGGGUUGUUAAAACAAUGUUUUAACUAUGAAUAUUGUAUUAUUAUUAAUAGUACAAUAUUAUAUUGUUAUCGUAUUUCUCUCAUUUUGGAAAUAUACAUAUAUUUUAUACCAUUUGUUAUUUGACAAAUCUGUUAUUAAUUCUCUGUUGAAAGAGAAUAGGAUGCUCUUUUAUCCACUUAAUAAUACCAUUCUAAAUAUUUAGAGAAAACAUUCGUUCUCCUCUCAUCGAGAGAGUCUACAGUUUGCCAUUGCAAACGACGGCGGGGAACAAAAA